GGGGCUGUGGCUCGGUGGCAGAGCUUCUGCUCAGCAUGCAGAAGGUUCCAGGUUCAAUCCCUGGCAGCCUCU